AUGAACGCUAGCUACAGGCUUAACACAUGCAAGUCGAGGGGCAGCAUUUUAGUUUGCUUGCAAACUAAAGAUGGCGACCGGCGCACGGGUGAGUAACACGUAUCCAACCUGCCGAUAACUCGGGGAUAGCCUUUCGAAAGAAAGAUUAAUAUCCGAUAGUAUAUUAAAACCGCAUGGUUUUACUAUUAAAGAAUUUCGGUUAUCGAUGGGGAUGCGUUCCAUUAGUUUGUUGGCGGGGUAACGGCCCACCAAGACUACGAUGGAUAGGGGUUCUGAGAGGAAGGUCCCCCACAUUGGAACUGAGACACGGUCCAAACUCCUACGGGAGGCAGCAGUGAGGAAUAUUGGUCAAUGGACGAGAGUCUGAACCAGCCAAGUAGCGUGAAGGAUGACUGCCCUAUGGGUUGUAAACUUCUUUUAUAUGGGAAUAAAGUAUUCCACGUGUGGGAUUUUGUAUGUACCAUAUGAAUAAGGAUCGGCUAACUCCGUGCCAGCAGCCGCGGUAAUACGGAGGAUCCGAGCGUUAUCCGGAUUUAUUGGGUUUAAAGGGAGCGUAGGUGGAUUGUUAAGUCAGUUGUGAAAGUUUGCGGCUCAACCGUAAAAUUGCAGUUGAAACUGGCAGUCUUGAGUACAGUAGAGGUGGGCGGAAUUCGUGGUGUAGCGGUGAAAUGCUUAGAUAUCACGAAGAACUCCGAUUGCGAAGGCAGCUCACUAGACUGCAACUGACACUGAGGCUCGAAAGUGUGGGUAUCAAACAGGAUUAGAUACCCUGGUAGUCCACACAGUAAACGAUGAAUACUCGCUGUUUGCGAUAUACAGUAAGCGGCCAAGCGAAAGCAUUAAGUAUUCCACCUGGGGAGUACGCCGGCAACGGUGAAACUCAAAGGAAUUGACGGGGGCCCGCACAAGCGGAGGAACAUGUGGUUUAAUUCGAUGAUACGCGAGGAACCUUACCCGGGCUUAAAUUGCAUUUGAAUAAUCUGGAAACAGGUUAGCCGCAAGGCAAAUGUGAAGGUGCUGCAUGGUUGUCGUCAGCUCGUGCCGUGAGGUGUCGGCUUAAGUGCCAUAACGAGCGCAACCCUUAUCUAUAGUUACUAUCAGGUCAUGCUGAGGACUCUAUGGAGACUGCCGUCGUAAGAUGUGAGGAAGGUGGGGAUGACGUCAAAUCAGCACGGCCCUUACGUCCGGGGCUACACACGUGUUACAAUGGGGGGUACAGAAGGCAGCUACCUGGCGACAGGAUGCUAAUCCCAAAAACCUCUCUCAGUUCGGAUCGAAGUCUGCAACCCGACUUCGUGAAGCUGGAUUCGCUAGUAAUCGCGCAUCAGCCAUGGCGCGGUGAAUACGUUCCCGGGCCUUGUACACACCGCCCGUCAAGCCAUGAAAGCCGGGGGUACCUGAAGUACGUAACCGCAAGGAGCGUCCUAGGGUAAAACUGGUAAUUGGGGCU
rnacentral:rRNA from 1 species